rnacentral:sRNA from 1 species
GCCAGGCAUAGUGGCAUAUGCCUGUAAUCCCAGCAGCUUGGGAGACGGAGGCAGGAGGAUCAUGAGUUCAAACGCAGCCUCAGCAAUGGUGAGGUUUUAAUCAAAUCUGUGAGACCCUGUCUCUA